rnacentral:tRNA from 1 species
GGCAGAGUCGCAUAGCCAGUCCAUUGCGCUUGACUGAUGCUCAAGUGGCUUCACUGAGCCGCGCGGGUUCAAAACAAUUGUUUGCGGAAGUCCCGCCUCUGCCG